AAUGCAUACAUUUGUAAGUCGCUCUGGAUAAGAGCGUCUGCUAAAUGACGUAAA
rfam:Salmo salar isolate Sally breed double haploid chromosome ssa18, whole genome shotgun sequence.